AUAAAAGCACGGUGGAGACUCUUGUUAUUUGAUCUCUAGCUUAUCCAUAGCUUGAUGAUCAUGAAUUUACCGCUACCGAAAUUAAGUGGCGACUCUACUGUGGAGUAGUCUCUAGUGGGUUUAGCCUACUUUUUAUGUGUAUAUAUUUGUAUAUAUGUGACGUUUGUAUAUAUGUAUGUGUGAUAUAAUCUGCUUGUUG
rnacentral:lncRNA from 1 species